ensembl:lncRNA novel transcript, antisense to CBLN1
CGCGCGGCAGCAGGGUUGGGCUCUCGCCGUGAGUCGACGAAGGGAGCGCGGGCGCGCGCCCGCGUCCGCGCACUGAGAGUCGCCUCGGCCGCUCGCUUUCUCGACUCCCGCCUCGCGCCUCGAUCCUGUUCCGCCUCCCUCGGCCCUCCUGCCCGCCCCCACUCGUCGGCCCUCAGGUUCCUGGAAAGUGAAAAUUUCAUUUCUUUGUGGACAGGUACCUAAAAUGUCUCAUUAUUCAUCAAUUAAUGAAAAACAAAUGAAAAUUUGAGAGAGAUAUUCUGAAGAAUAAAAGGAUCAAGUUGGGUCAUUUCUAAAAUCUCAGAGACCUAAUAGGAUGGGGUCUUAGAGAAACAUCUUUUGAGCCACAGACUUCUUUGUUACCAGAAGGAAAAUGAAAGAAGAAAUUUAAAUACCACUUGAAGAGAGGUGCUGCCCAGUUCAUGAGUGCUGCUGCUGUCCUGCCCAAGUACCCAGCUUGCAGAGUGCCAGAGUUAGAGUCCCAGGGGUGUUCUCCACAGCUGCAUGCUUGAUCCAGGCCUAUCAGCAUUGUCUUUGAAUAUUAGCAAAUAAUGGAACAUGGGCCAAGGGUGAACCAUGACGAAUUUGUGUUCCAGCAGCCCUGCUUCUUUAGAAUUGACAGUCUGGCUUCGUGGUUAAUUCACAGCAUCUGAGGAAUACAUCCAAAGAGGGUGAUACUGUGGCAUGAUGGUACCAGGAUUCCAAGUUCAUUCCAGAGAAGAUGGCAAGAUGCAGAGAGGAGGAGUCACGCCUGAAGCCACACAGCUGACAUCAGAGCCAAAGCAUGAGCCUCAGUCUCUCUGACCCAGAGCUACCACCCUUGCUGCCUUGGGAAGAAGGAAGCCCCCUCCUAUUCUAUCCUUGAGCUGCCUUGGCAAGGAGGGGCCCCUUGCUGCCGCCAUCCUCACAGGACACCAUCCACAUGAGGGGAUGAUCAUUGGGUAGAGACUAGAAAUGUACCGAGCAGUGCGCAAAGAAGAUGAGGAGGGUUCUACAGUUUCUCCAGAUACAUACCAUGACAAUUUGUUUUUUUAAAAAAGAAGAAAGCCUGCAGGAAAAAAUCUACAACUUUCAUCAAAUUACUCAGGGAGACUUUAUUCUAAAGAGACUGAAAACGACCAACAUCAAUUUUGACUCCUAUGGGCAUCUGUAAAUAGCUUCAAGGUUUUAAGGUGAAAUGUCAUGUACCAAAAUACACAUUCUGGAGAAGCAGGAAGCUACAGACCAACUUGAGAUGAAAGUCUCAUAUCAAUGUUUUCCCAAGUGUGCUCCUUGGAAUACAGGUUGACAUGAUAUGAUGCCCAGCAAGGGAAACAAAACAUAUUCAUGUUCAAAUUAGUUGGGGAAAUGCUGGACUAAAUAAGGUUUGAUGGGAUUCUUUUUUCUGCAGGACUUCUCAGAAGGGGCUAGAGUAGGCAAAGUUUCCCAGAUUUACCUAAUAAAAGCAUUGUUUCUGUGGGAGUUUCAUUUGUUAUUACAUGUUUCCUGAAUGCAGAUUCAUAGACUAUCCUUUGGGGAACCCUCGUCCUCACGGGAUGUAUGUUCAUGGUGG